CCUAAAGGCGUAAUGAAAGUGAAGGUUGUCAUUGCGAUAACUAAGGGAGGAUGAGUUGCGUUACGAUGCAUCUCCKCACUCCCGGGGCGUCUCAUUCUUAUUUAUAAGGAGAGGCGCACCUAGAGCGUACACGUUGGGACCCGAAAGAUGGUGAACUAUGCCUGGUCAGGACGAAGUCAGGGGAAACCYUGAUGGAGGUCCGUAGCGAUUCUGACGUGCAAAUCGAUCGUCGGAACUGGGUAUAGGGGCGAAAGACUAAUCKAACCAUCUAGUAGCUGGUUCCCUCCGAAGUUUCCCUCAGGAUAGCUGGCACUUAUGNAGUUCUAUGAACUAAUACGAGUCUCAUCUGGUAAAGCGAAUGAUUAGAGGCAUUGGGGCCGAAACGACCUCAACCUAUUCUCAAACUUUAAAUGGGUGAGAUMUYUGGCUUGCUUGAAUAUAUGAAGCUAUGARAUAUUAUUAUUGGAUCAAAGUGCCAAGUGG
rnacentral:rRNA from 1 species